CGCAGGGCCAGGCGGCCGGUCCCAGUGGGAGGGUGGCCAGACACCAGGCACACGGCUGCGGGGAGGCCCACCCGCCCGGCUGUGACAGCCUUGCACUCACAUGGGGCCGAGGUCUGGCGGCCUUCUUCCCGGUCUGCUGCUGCGUGCCGGUGGCUCUCCAGCAAGUGCCCGGCAGCUCCACGCAGGAGGCCACGGAGCCCCAGGCAAGAUGGAAGAGCAGGGCCCGGGCCCAACGGCCAACCCCAAGGCCGGCUAUUCUGAGAAUGGGCAGAGCCUGUGACUCGCCCAGGGGCCUGGACAAGGACAGACACGUGGCCCGCCCUGCUCCCCGGGCAGUGGGCAGAUGGUGUGGCCGGAGCGGACCCUCCCCCCUGGGCCUGCCAGGGGCUGGGAGGCCACCUGUGAGCCAAGCACUUACUGAGACAGAGAGGCAUCCAGGCUGAAAUCUUCCAGGUGAAGCCUGGGGACGGAAUGGAGCGGACGCAUCAACGCGGACGGAUGGACAGACAGAGGGCCUGGACUCCUGGACCAGGAAGCUGAUGGCAGCAAGAGGCGGGCCGCACACAGGGCCACUGGCUGGACGACCUCUCCUGGGCUCCCCCACCCUCCACAGGCCAUCGCACCCCCUGCCCUGCCCCUCGGCUUCCUGGUGACAAGACAGGCCAGUGCUUUUAGGGACCCCCAGGGGCAAUCCCUCUACUGGGCCAGCAACACACACCUGCUGCCCUUUGGGCGGCCUGGCCUAGGGCUCUACCAGACUGGCCACAGCCAGAUGACACCAAGGUGGGCGUGGCCUGU